rnacentral:rRNA from 1 species
UACGUAGGGUGCAAGCGUUGUCCGGAAUUAUUGGGCGUAAAGAGCUCGUAGGCGGUUUGUUGCGUCGGCUGUGAAAUCCCGAGGCUCAACCUCGGGUCUGCAGUCGAUACGAGCAAACUAGAGUGUUGCAGGGGAGACUGGAAUUCCUGGUGUAGCGGUGAAAUGCGCAGAUGUCAGGAGGAACACCAAUAGCGAAGGCAGCUCGCUGGGACGGUACUGACGCUGAGGCGCGAAAGCGUGGGGAGCGAACAGG